UACAGAGGGUGCAAGCGUUUGUUCGGAAUUAUUGGGCGUAAAGCGCGUGUAGGCGGCUUUGCAAGUCGGGUGUGAAAGCCCUCAGCUCAACUGAGGAAGUGCGCCCGAAACUGCAGAGCUUGAGUACCGGAGAGGAUGGCGGAAUUCCCCAAGUAGAGGUGAAAUUCGUAGAUAUGGGGAGGAACACCGGUGGCGAAGGCGGCCAUCUGGACGGAUACUGACGCUGAGACGCGAAAGCGUGGGGAGCAAACAGG
rnacentral:rRNA from 1 species